rnacentral:rRNA from 1 species
UACGUAGGUGGCAAGCGUUGUCCGGAUUUAUUGGGUUUAAAGGGUGCGUAGGCGGUUUUGUAAGUCAGUGGUGAAAUACUCUAGCUUAACUAGAGGGGUGCCAAUGAUACUGCGGAACUUGAGUUCAGACGAGGUAGGCGGAAUUUAUGGUGUAGCGGUGAAAUGCAUAGAUACCAUAAAGAACACCGAUUGCGAAGGCAGCUUACUAGACUGAAACUGACGCUGAGGCACGAAAGCGUGGGGAUCAAACAGG